GAUGAAGAACGUAGCGAAAUGCGAUAAGUAAUGUGAAUUGCAGAAUUCAGUGAAUCAUCGAAUCUUUGAACGCACAUUGCGCCCGUCAGUAUUCUGGCGGGCAUGCCUGUUCGAGCGUCAUUACGCCCCUCAAGUCCCCUGUGGACUUGGUGUUGGGGAUCGGCGAGGCUGGUUUUCCAGCACAGCCGUCCCUUAAAUUAAUUGGCGGUCUCGCCGUGGCCCUCCUCUGCGCAGUAGUAAAACACUCGCAACAGGAGCCCGGCGCGGUCCACUGCCGUAAAACCCCCCAACUUUUUAUAGUUGACCUCGAAUCAGGUAGGACUACCCGCUGAACUUAAGCAUAUCUAAGCGGAGGA
rnacentral:misc_RNA from 1 species